ensembl:lncRNA
UUUCCUGUCUGGAGCUUUGUUAGUGACCGACAACUAACACUGAAGCGGUGGCGAUCAGGGACCCAGAAAAUCCUGACAAGGUCAUUGCUUUCGGGAAGCCCUUCUGUUUGCUGCCCGGGGCAGCGGAGCCUAGCAGAGGAGCAGCGUGGUGAGAGGAAGCGCACGGGUCUGCAGAGAGACAGAUGGGUUUGAGUCCCGGCCUGACUCCUUGCUGACAGUGUGGCUUUGGGUCUGCCCCCUACUGUGCUAGAUGCCCAGCUACUCACAGACUCCUGGAAGGAAGUGCAGGCCAAGAGCUGUUGCUUUCUCACUUGUUCCCGCUUACUGAUCCCAGCUGUGCCGCUGCUUGAUCCCUCCUGCUUCUAGGGAGCUUGUCCAUAAACUUCCAACCCGUGAGUGGUGCAACCCAACUGGUGUGAGGACAGCCUUGGAUGAUUUAUUUCAUCCCAUAGUCCUGAGAUAUGGUCCUGGACAGAUGCCCGAGCUGGAACAUGCAAGA